AGAUUGAACGCUGGCGGCAUGCCUAACACAUGCAAGUCGAACGGGAGUAGCAAUACUCUAGUGGCGGACGGGUGAGGAAUACGUAGGAAUUUGCCCUUAAGUGGGGGAUAACCCGGGGAAACCCGGAUUAAUACCGCAUGACCUCGAAAGAGCAAAGUGGGGGAUCGCAAGACCUCACGCUUUUGGAGAAGCCUACGUCGGAUUAGCUAGUUGGUGAGGUAAUGGCUCACCAAGGCGACGAUCCGUAACUGGUCUGAGAGGAUGAUCAGUCACACCGGAACUGAGACACGGUCCGGACUCCUACGGGAGGCAGCAGUGGGGAAUAUUGGACAAUGGGCGCAAGCCUGAUCCAG
rnacentral:rRNA from 1 species